GACGAACGCUGGCGGCGUGCUUAACACAUGCAAGUCGAACGGAAAGGCCCUGCUUUUGUGGGGUGCUCGAGUGGCGAACGGGUGAGUAACACGUGAGUAACCUGCCCUUGACUUUGGGAUAACUUCAGGAAACUGGGGCUAAUACCGGAUAGGAGCUCCUGCUGCAUGGUGGGGGUUGGAAAGUUUCGGCGGUUGGGGAUGGGCUCGAGGCUUAUCAGCUUGUUGGUGGGGUAGUGGCUUACAAAGGCUUUGACGGGUAGCCGGCCUGAGAGGGGGACCGGGCACCUGGGGCCUGCGAGACGGCCCAGUAUCCUACGGGAGGCAGCAGGCGGGAACAUUGCACAAUGGGCGGAAGCCUGAUGCAGCAACGCCGCGUGCGGGAUGACGGCCUUCGGGUUGUAAACCGCUUUCGCCUGUGACGAAGCGUGAGUGACGGUAAUGGGUAAAGAAGCACCGGCUAACUACGUG
rnacentral:rRNA from 1 species